rnacentral:rRNA from 1 species
GACGAACGCUGGCGGCGUGCUUAACACAUGCAAGUCGAGCGGUAAGGCCCUUUCGGGGGUACACGAGCGGCGAACGGGUGAGUAACACGUGGGUGACCUGCCUUUAGCUCUGGGAUAAGCCUGGGAAACUGGGUCUAAUACCGGAUAUGACUCCGCGGUGCAUGCUGUGGGGUGGAAAGCCUUGUGCGGCUGGAGAUGGGCCCGNGGCCUAUCAGCUUGUUGGUGGGGUGAUGGCCUACCAAGGCGACGACGGUAGCCGGCCUGAGAGGGCGACCGGCCACACUGGGACUGAGGACACGGCCCAGACUCCUACGGGAGGCAGCAGUGGGGAAUCUUGCGCAAUGGGCGAAAGCCUGACGCAGCGACGCCGCGUGAGGGAUGACGG